GAUCAUUAUCGAUUAUAAAUCGUUGACGUAAGUGUUGGCUCCGGCAAGUGCACGCUGGUCACUUGCAUCCAACACCCUUGUGUACCUUUGUCCUCUUGCAAGUUUGGGUUCGCAGAGGAUUUAUACACAAACUCGAAUGUAAUGAAAAACUUUGUUGUGUGCGCAAGCACCAAUGUACAACUUUCAACAACGGAUCUUUUGGCUCUUGCAUUGAUGAAGAACGCAGAGAAAUGUGAUAAGUAACGUGAAUUGCAGAAUUCAGUGAAUCAUCGAAUCUUUGAACGCACCUUGCACCCUUUGGUAUUCCGAAGGGUAUGCUCGUUUGAGUGUCAUUGUACUCUCACACUCUCCAAUUUGGUAUUGGGGAGUUGUGGACUUGGGUGUUGCUCAUUCACUGUCAGGCUCACCUCAAAUGGGGUAGUACAACUCUUGGUUAGCCAUAAAACGGGGUGAUAAGCCUUUUCGCUGUGCCUCGCAAGAGGGUGCCUAAUCGGGAGUCCCGGCUUCACACGCCCUUCCCCCAAUCUUGACUAGGUGACCUCAGAUCAUGUACG
rnacentral:rRNA from 1 species